CCCGUCGCUGCACGCCGCCCCCCUCCUCCUUUCUUCUUUCACCCUUCUUCUUCCCCAAAUUAGAAAUUGAAGGCAACCCUAGCUCCUUCUUCCUUCUUCCUCUCGGUAAAAUCGCCGUCAUCACGCAGCGCCGCCGCCGUCGGUCUCGGGCGUCAACAGGCAGAAGCGGUCGUAUCGUCCUCCAAUUUCUCCUCUCAUUCGUCGGUUUGGCAGGACACCGCGGCGACGCCAUCUCUCUCUCCCAUAUGCCGCCGCCGCCGCUGCUGUUGUGCAUGUACAGGCGGUGGUGCUGAAGUCACAACUUCCGCCACCGUAUGCGGUUCCGCCCUCGCCGGAUCCCGACCGAUUUGUAAAGACCUUGAACUAAUUAAGGGCUAUGAGGCUUGUGGGGCUUCCAUCGCCGUCGGAGAGUCGCCGAAGCAACUGUCGGAACAUGCCACCGAGAUAAGCUUCCUAACUUUCUAUUAUUAUAGUCUUGAGACUUGUGUUGGUCAUAUUUUAUGAGUUUGAUGCACUUAUGCAUAUUUUGACAUUUUUGGAACACUUUGUAAUCUAAAAUUUUGCUCAUUUGUUUUGGGAAGAUUCUAAGUCUUAAUUCGAAUGCUAUGCACGCUUUGAUGUAAUAAAAAAUAGAGAGGACAUGUAUUCCUUACUUACAUGAAUUUCCUAAAAUGCUAUGUCUAUAAGACUUUGGAUAUGAUUAUGAGCUUAGAUUCCUAUUGUGAGGGGAAGGAAAGUUACCUCUUCAAAGGAUGGUGAAGGGAAGAGGGGCUGCUCCUUGUUCUCGGCUCUCAUAGGGUGAUACUAUGAUGUUUUUUUUUCUGUGUGUGUGGAAGGGGUGCUCAAGGUGGUAUUGAGGGUUUUAUAGGUGAUUUGGUAACUGCAAAAUCUGCAACUCUUAAUCCUCUUGCAGGGACAUUUUUGUUGGUUGUGAGAGUGUACUCUUGGUUAUUAAAAGAGCUGAUUUUCCUUUUGUUUCCAUAUGCAACAUAUCUUCCUUUUCAUGAUCUUGUAGUACCUUAUAAAUAAUGUUUCUUGGUGUAGAGCUUGGGACAAAAGGACUCUUGUAAUCAUGUUUCUUGCUUGAUUUCUGCAGGGUGUACAUAGGGGAGCUGGGGCGGUUGGAGGAGAACGUGGCUGCCCAGCUGCUGUCUCCGCGACGGCUCGCUGCCUCGGGCCAUCGUGCUCGCUGCCCGGAGUCGACGGGUGCACGAGCCGCGGUGGGUGCGGUUUGGCUCGGGGAAAGAAUAGAUCCAACUUAUGUGCUAUUUUCUUUCGUUUUUAUUAAUAUACAAUUUCUUUGUAAUCUAAAACAUAGCUUUAAAAUGUAGCUAUUGUAAUUUAUUCGACUAAGGAAUAAACGAGCACAUAUUCAUUCUUCAGUCGUACUUCA